CUCGGCUCCUUCACCUACCAUUACUCAUGUUCCAGCGGCAGCCCCAACCUUAACUCCUACAAGCUCGCCUCCUACUCCUUCGGCUCCCACUCCUAGCUCAGGUCCCUCAGUGGCACUUCCUCCUAACGGUGUUCCGUCUCCUUCUGCUGAUACUCCGACAGGGGUUCCUCCAAACGGUGCUGUUUUGAGCAGAGGCGGUGCUGCUUUGGCCGUUGUUGGAGCGGCAUGUCUGUGGUCUUUGUUGCUGUAGAUCUGAUCUCAGGACUAUCAUCAGCUGCAGGUUUAGGAGUUCAUUUGGUAGGAUUGAGUUUUUUUUU
rnacentral:misc_RNA from 1 species